rnacentral:lncRNA from 1 species
CAAAACAUAGAUGAAAAAAUAGAUAUUAACAACCAGUUCAAACUAUAUUAAUAUAACAACCAAGUCAUCCCCAACGGGUUCUACCAUAACCUUAGAUUAAGGUAUUUAACUACUCAUAACAAUGGACGAAUAAACUACGAAAAUAUUCAUAAUCGAAAAUUACAAGAAAAUAAAAGAGAAUAAAAACUAUGAUGUUUUGGGUGAUCGCUCACACUUGUUCUUCUUGCCAAAGUACUCUAUAAACAAGCUUAACCUAGCAUUGGGCGAGUUUCUUACAUAUUAUAAGGGUUUUACAAAAGCUUUCCCGAAAUGACACUUUGAACCCUCGAAUUUCUGAAGUAUACACGUGCCUCCGCGACCGCGGCGUCGACCGCGGCUCCGACCGCAGCCGAUUCUGUUGCAAACCGUGGCGCUGACCGCGGGAAGCACUGAUGGGUCUUUUGUCUCCGUGUUACUUCUCUUUUUGCUCUUUUGUGUUCGGGUACUUCUUGAGUGGGUGAUUGCUUCACAUUAUUGCCUCUAAACACUUCAUUUUACUUCCUCACAUCAUGUAUUCCCUGCGAAACCAAAUAGCGUCAAUUAAAGCAUUUUAUUGGCAACUUACAUUAUAAAACAACAAAGCAUUGGCAAUUAUGGCUUAAAUAACAACUAUAUAGCCUAUUAUCAUAGCUAUUUUUUAAUAUGUUUGUAAACGAUGGCUAGUUUUCAAAUACCUGUCCGAAAACUGGCUAGUCCGUGCUAUUUUUACUUUCUAAGUUUAUGUCGGGGUUUCUUUUAUUGUUCCUUGAGAGCUAAAUAUACAUGGGCUGGCUUAUCACAGCCCAAAAGGAUGAUACCUAUUUGAGUGGCCCGCAUUAAAGGACUGCAUAAUCUGAUGCGUUGCUUUUCACUCCCUAAAAGGCCAGAAACAAAAAAGUAAUCCUAUCUGAAUAGCCCAUUGCGGAAGCCUCUUACCUGUUCGACAAAAUGCCUCAAAGAGAGUAAUCAUCCAAGCUCUUUCACAAUCUACCUUCUUGGUUUAUGGAAGUCUUGGUUUUGCUGGUAUAAUUUAGCCUGAAGAUUGAAAAUGGAGAAAAUAAUUGUGUUGCAGAGUAAUCCAGCUUCCCUAUCCACACAGCUAUGCGCAAUUACAACUACUUAUAACUGCAGUUUAGGCUGCUCCAAUGUCAUUUCUUUCAGAUUUCCCAGAAGAAUUAAUGUAGUCAAAAUUUGUUAUUUUCACAAUUUUACUAAAAGGACUAACGUAGUCAACUUAACCAAAGCUUCUUUUUGGGAAGAUCCUGAUGAUGGUAGUGAUAGUGAAGAUGAAGAGGAAGAACAAGAAGAAGAAGAGAAUGAAAUGGAAGAGGAAGAAGAAGAUAUGGAUGUUGAGAGUAAGUGGGACUAUGGAGCAGAAAAUAAAGCAACAGCUAAUUCUACAGAUGGGUUGUCUAGUAGCAACUCUGAAGAGGAGUUUAUGAAAGGUAUUCUCUUUUUCUUUUUUUCAAGUGGGGCAGUUAUAUAAUUGUUGUUGUCUUCAGAAAAUUCUUGAAAAUUGAUAGCUUAUUCAAACUAUAACAGAAGGGAUAAAUGAAAAACUAAGUUAGGUGAUUUCUUCCCCUGAGCCUUUGUGACCUUCAUCCAUCGCGUGUAGGCCCUACCAAGGGGCCGAGUUAUUCGGUACCUUUGUUGGUGGGAUGUAGGAAGAAUGAGGUAGCUGGUAUCUGGUGGAAUAAUCAAGACGUGCCGCAAGCUAGCUCAGACGCCACUAUUAUUUGUGUGUGUGUUUGGGNNNNNNNNNNNNNNNNNNNNNNNNNNNNNNNNNNNNNNNNNNNNNNNNNNNNNNNNNNNNNNNNNNNNNNNNNNNNNNNNNNNNNNNNNNNNNNNNNNNNNNNNNNNNNNNNNNNNNNNNNGGGGGGGGGGGGGGGGGGGGAAGAAGAAGGAUAAAGAGGUUAGGGGAUGACUUGUAAUCCAUCAGCCUGGUGGACUUUAGACUCUAAUAUAACGAGGUUAGGAGAUGACUUGUAAUCCAUCAGCCUGGUGGACUUUAGACUAAUUGGUCUAUGGGAAUACAUUGCGGCAUACAUCCAAAACGACUCCUGGUAGAUAUUAGUGCGUUUAAGUCUUUUGACAGCCUCGAGAACAGAUGAAAGAAGGGAAGUUACAAAAUGAAGCAAGGAAAUCUUAGAGAUAAACAUUGUAGAAUGGAUAGUUCCAGACUUCUAAGUUGUGUUGCGUCAUUUCGUCGUGAUUUAGUUUUGUAUCUUAACUUCAGUUGACAGAAGCUCUAGUGCAUUAAUUCAGCUAAUCUGUUAUAGUCGUUUUGAAAUGCUUCAGGUUCAAUUAGCUCCCCCCACCCCCCCAAACCCCACACCCAAAACCCCAAAGGAAGGUUNNNNNNNNNNNNNNNNNNNNNNNNNNNNNNNNNNNACCCCACACCCAAAACCCCCCUCAACACACGCACAAAAAAAAGUUCAUUGCGCUUGGGCAUGUGAACGAUAAAGUAUUAGUAUCUAACUUUUGUUUUUGUUUCAGAGGUUGAACAGCUUUUGAGCCCAGAGGAAAGGGAAAUUUUGUACAGCAACCAAACUCCAGAGCUGGAUAAGAUAUCAACUGUAAGUUCGUAGGACGUCCAGCUGCCUCUUUUCAUGCUAACAUCUUCUCUGAUAAGUAAAUUAGUAGUCUUCCGUGCAAGCCAGGGGAUUGCUAUUCUAACUGUUAGAAACUGCUUGUAGAGACCAAAAUCUACAUUAUUGAAAAGAAAUCAUACAUUCUUUUUUUGGUUUCUGGAACAAGUCCUGAUACUAUUGGAUGUGUGUCUAAUCCAGGAAAAAUGGAACCCUCUUCACACUUUUGCAUUAGCAGGGCAGAUACGAUUUAUGGAUCGACUUCUAGAGGAAGGUCUCGAUAUUGAUGUUGUUGACAAGGUAAGAUUCGUUGUAUUCCCUAAUACCUUUGUUCAUUCGUUUGGUCUGAAGUAAGUCAUUCAGUUAAUUUGAUGACAGGAAGGACGAACUGCUCUCCACCAUGCGGUUUUUGGUAAAAAAGAGGCUGUCAUCAGUCAUCUUCUAAGAAAAGAUGCAAAUCCUCAAGUUAGGGAUUUGGUGAGACAGCUCUCUUUUGCUUUUCACUUUGUAAACAACUUGCUUAAAGUUUGAUUACAGGGAUCAUAUUUUAUCUCUUUUCUCCCUGUUAACAGGACGGUGUUACCCCGCUUCAUUAUGCAGUUCAAGUAGGAGCCAUGCAAACUGUUAAGUUGUUAAUAAAAUACAAGGUUGAUGUGAAUGUUGCUGAUAACGUAAGUGGACAUUUUAUUUUUGUUUUCUGACUUUUUUAUGGUCCUGUUAAUUUAUUUGAAGUAAUUCCUUCUUACAGGAGGGCUGGACGCCGCUGCAUGUGGCCAUCCAAAGCAGAAACAGAGACAUAGCUAAAAUUCUUCUAGUCAAUGGAGCAGAUAAGCACAGGAAGAAUAAGGUAAUUGUAGCUAUAACUUUAGUGCCAAACUAGUGUUAUUGCUGGUUCAGUCUCGACGGCUUAAAAUACGCUCAAGAACUAUCCGUACUGCCCAGUUGGGUGGUUUUUAAUACCUCCUGCUACCCGUUACGGCUUAAAAUACGCUUAAGGACUAACCGUACUGCCCAGUUGGGUGGUUUUUAAUACCUCCUACUACCUGUAUGUAUGCGUGUAAUGCAACUCUAAUGAUUUUCUUAAUAUCCUGAUUACAACUCAUUUUUGCUCGGCUUUGAGAAAGGAUGGCAAAGGUCAUUCAAGCCAAAUAUAGACGUGCCAAUCCAACUCAAACACUAGAUGAAUGAUAAAACAUACUAUCCAGUAUCUACCAUGACUAUACCACGAAUAGGGAUUCAAAAAAAUGCAAAAAUGGUAUACCUAGAAUUUUCCUCAUGUUAAGAGGAUUCAACGGUUUAUGUAUAUACAAAAAAAAAAUGUUUUUAUCGCACUUGCGCACUAUAAUUUUCCUGGGAUGGGAGGACUUUUCUAUACCUUGCCAUUGCUCUCCCUAUUAGUAAGAGUUAAGAGUUUUGUGCGUCUCUUUCCUUAAGACAGGGCAUGUGAAAAUUUAAUAGCCUUUUAACAUUUACGUUUGACAGGAUGGCAAUACACCGCUUGAUCUUAGCCUUUGUUAUGGCAAAGAUUUCAAGUCUUAUGAUCUGGCGAAAUUACUGAAGCUCGUUCCUGCUAAUAGAGAGCUGUGAUUCACUUCUACAGUUACAGUUCCAAGAGAUGGAUCUUCCUAAUAUUCAAGAAGGUUAAAGCCAGACAUGACUUUGCCGUCUCAGCUGCUUCAGUUUACUCACAGUUCCAAGAGAUGGAUCUUCCUAAUAUUCAAGAAGGUUAAAGCCAGACAUGACUUUGCUGUCUCUGCUCACAUUAAUAAUUCCUUCUGCAGUUUUGCCUCCGACUGAAGAAGAAAACGGAGAUCUCCAAUUAAGGAAGAAGUUCAUUAAGCGUGUUAACAUGGAGAUAUUGAAGCUCAAUUCAGAUUGACUAUCAACCAUGGAAUCACUUGAACUGUAAAAUCUUUGGGCACAUGUGCAGUUAGUCUUGAACAGAUUUGUGAAAUAUCGACAUUUAUGGUAUACAUGUCCCAAGUCUGAUUUUAGACCUUUCUCGCAUUGGAGUUUGGAAAGUCAUGAAUUCUACAUACAUCUAUGCAAUUCUCUUACAACUAAUAUCCCCAUCAAACGUGACACUUUAAUACCCAUCAGAAGUUGUCUAAGCAUCCUGCAACCCAAGUAGCUUUUACACUAACUAUUCUGAUAUGUGCUCGCCUGACAUCCAUUUCAUUUUUUUCCUUUGUUUCUUUCCCUCGUUAUCAAAUAGACAAAGCAAAGGCGCGGGCUAAAGGGGAGUAUAAAGAAGAAAAUCUGUGAACUGGAAGUCAUCAGCACUCUAAUUAACACAACAACGAGGCAAAUUAGAGAUAAAAGUUUUUCUAGUACUGACAUUCUAAGGCAUAGUUGAUAAUCAGAUAAUUUUACAUGUUUCAACAACAACAACAACCCAGUAUCAUCCAACUUAUUGGUCUGGGGAGGGUAUUAUGUACGCAGACCUUACCCCUACCCUGGGGUAGAGAGUUUGCUUCCAAAUAGACCCCCGGCAUCCUUCCCUCCAAGAACUUCCCAACUUGCUCUUGAAAAGACUCGAACUCACAACCUCUCGAUUGGAAGUGGGAUUGUUUACCAUCAGAGCAACCCCUCUUGUCAUAAAAGUAUAAUGAUGUCCUUUACUUUUUAGAUCUCUCCAAAAAUUAGCAUUACUAUAUGCUAAUAGGUUAUAAUAAGAAAGUUGUGGUAGCACAAUUACCACAAAGAUGUGCUAGCACAUUACUACAAGUAACACGUCACAAUAAGAAAGUUGAGCGCAGAUCAACCUAACAACCUAGCAAUGACACAGAUAUAUAGGUUUGCUACAUGCAUUUCGAGCUAUGUUGCUCGGACUCUCCGAAAAUAUCGCCGGAUGCAUGUGGGAUUCUCCAAAAGCAGUGUAUUUUUGGAGAAUCCGACACGAACGCGGCAGUAUUUUGGAGAGUCUGCGCAACAUAGGUACUUUCGGGACAGUUCAAGUUAAACUAUCUGAUUGAAGGCAAGAUUCAGAUAGUCAACAAGGAAACUUCAGUUUUUUUAACUAAGACGAAUCAAAUGCAGAGUGGAUAUCAAGGUCUAGCAUUGGAUCACGUCUGCUAGAGCUCGGCUCAGGAAAACAAAACCAGGUUAAAAGGCUUGAGACCCUUUCUACUUCUCUUCUCUUAAUUAAAUUUUUAAUCCUUGCAAAUAUAAUCUAUAAAACAACCUAUACUUUAAACUUAAGCCUCCUACUAGUUUCUCUUUCACUCUCCUCCCAUCAUCACCAAUAUCCUCAUUAAUCUCAUCCUCCCUCCCUCUUAUUUCUUUUAGGUUGAGUACUGGUUCUUGUGGCCUUAAAUCAUUUUACGUCGGACAUCCACCAUGGCAGCAAGAAUAUGGUAUCAAAGUCAUGAAAAAUAUAGAAAGUAGGGAUAUAUAUCUCAUUUUAGCUUUUAUCUAAGAACGCAUUUCCUUUUGGAACGGCUAUUCCGUACUUAGAACACACGGCUUUUGGAUUUAGUAUUUCAUAUGAAACUUGUAAUAGAUCUAGGAUUGUUUUUUUACUUUUUGAUGAAGAGUGGAGAAUUUGAUUGCAUUAUGUUUCCUUAUUCAAAAGUGUGGCUCCUAUCUCAAGAUUUUAACGUAGCUUAGAGCUUUUCGGAUUGACUUGGAAGAUAUAUACUCCCUCCGUUUCAACCUAUUUCCUUUUUGGUCCGUGCCAAAAAGAAUAACUCAUUUCUUUAUUUGAAAAUAAUUUACCUUUAUGCAAUAAUUUAUAGCCAUACAAAAUAUAUAUGACUCAUUUUACACCACAAGUUCAAAAGUAUUCUUUCUUUUCUUAAACUCCGUACCCAGUCAAAUAAGUUCACAUAAACUGAAACGGAAGUAGUAUUAUUUUUACUUUGGAUAAAAUUUGCCAGUCCAAUAUAACAACUAGGUUGCUAAUGCAAAAACUUCCUCAUCCACCCAUUAAGACAAGAUUGAGCAGCAAGAUAUUAGGGUCAAUUACUCUUGAGCAUGGUAGCUUGCCUAGUUUUCGGCUCCCUUAGAAGGUCAAUUAAUUUAACAACAUAACAACUAUGCCACCGUCCCAAAUUAGCUGGCGUGGCUGCCUCAGUCCUUGCUACCUUUUCCGUCUCCUCUCUAGCCAUCUUUACCCAACAUACUCGAUUCUUAGGUUUUGGCCAUAUGAAUCCUCUAUACUCAUCUCGAUUAGUUCGGUUUGUUUCAUUCCAACACUAUUAGGGUUUCUAUAGGUCUUACUCUUGACAGUAUCUUAAUCAUGCCUAAACCUCAUAAACCAAAUUACCCACAGAUUUAGCAGCACAUAACGCAGGUGCUAACUUCGCCUCCCUGACAAUAAAACCGUGUGCAGAGUUUAUCAAAAUCCAGAGACAAAAUGAAAAUACAGCAGAUAAAUUAUUAUUUCCAUAUUUCAGAAUAUUUAAAUUAACUUCCUACAGCACUAUUCUUCCUUCAACGAACAAAUAUUAUGAGCUAAAUAUGUUUUAAUCAAAUACUUUUAUGCCGUAUUUCUUCAUAAUAUAGAAGAUCAUAUAAAAAUAAGUAAAUUAGUACCAAAAACACUUUUGAAUGACAAAAAAAUACCGCAAAAGCAACUGUACCGGUACUGAGAGUUAACAAACGGUGACGGCGGAAGAAACGGCGGCGCAGAGAAUGAUACGAACCUAAGAAGCUCCGGUGAGCUUGAAUUCUGAAAACUUCGAUUUUCUUAUCAAGAGGGGAAAGAAACAUCGGGGUUGGAUAAAAGGCUAACCAAUUGAACCGGCUAUGGAGCUAAAUAGAUGGGUAGUCCGAAUCCGGAUAAGAUCUGGCCCGUGUUUUUCCUUUUUUGGCAUAAUAC